rnacentral:rRNA from 1 species
AAGACCUUGCGCUUUUGGAGCGGCCGAMGCCUGAUUAGCUUGUUGGUAAGGUAAAAGCUUACCAAGGCUUCGAUCAGUAGCUGGUCUGAGAGGACGGCCAGCCACACUGGGACUGAGACACGGCCCAGACUCCUACGGGAGGCAGCAGUGGGGAAUUUUGGACAAUGGGGGCAACCCUGAUCCAGCCAUGCCGCGUGAGUGAAGAAGGCCUUCGGGUUGUAAAGCUCUUUCAGCCGGAACGAAACGGUUACGGUUAAUACCCAUGACUACUGACGGUACCGGAAGAAGAAGCACCGGCUAACUACGUGCCAGCAGCCGCGGUAAUACGUAGGGUGCGAGCGUUAAUCGGAAUUACUGGGCGUAAAGCGUGCGCAGGUGGUUUUGUAAGUCAGAUGUGAAAGCCCCGGGCUCAACCUGGGAACU